GACGAACGCUGGCGGCGUGCUUAACACAUGCAAGUCGAACGGAAAGGCCCUGCUUUUGUGGGGUGCUCGAGUGGCGAACGGGUGAGUAACACGUGAGUAACCUGCCCUUGACUUUGGGAUAACUUCAGGAAACUGGGGCUAAUACCGGAUAGGAGCUCCUGCCGCAUGGUGGGGGUUGGAAAGUUUCGGCGGUUGGGGAUGGACUCGCGGCUUAUCAGCUUGUUGGUGGGGUAGUGGCUUACCAAGGCUUUGACGGGUAGCCGGCCUGAGAGGGUGACCGGCCACAUUGGGACUGAGAUACGGCCCAGACUCCUACGGGAGGCAGCAGUGGGGAAUAUUGCACAAUGGGCGGAAGCCUGAUGCAGCAACGCCGCGUGCGGGAUGACGGCCUUCGGGUUGUAAACCGCUUUCGCAUGUGACGAAGCGUGAGUGACGGUAAUGGGUAAAGAAGCACCGGCUAACUACGUG
rnacentral:rRNA from 1 species